CCUACGGGAGGCAGCAGUGGGGAAUUUUCCGCAAUGGGCGAAAGCCUGACGGAGCGACGCNGCGUGAAGGAUGACGGCCUGAGGGUUGUAAACNUCUUUUCUCNNNGAAGAAUAUCUGACGGUAUUNGAGGAAUAAGCCUCGGCUAACUCUGUGCCAGCAGCCGCGGUAAUACGGGAGUGGCAAGCGUUAUCCGGAAUUAUUGGGCGUAAAGCGUCCGCAGGCGGCCCUUCAAGUCUGCUGUUAAAAAGUGGAGCUUAACUCCAUCAUGGCAGUGGAAACUGUUGGGCUUGAGUGUGGUAGGGGCAGAGGGAAUUCCCGGUGUAGCGGUGAAAUGCGUAGAUAUCGGGAAGAACACCAGUGGCGAAGGCGCUCUGCUGGGCCAUCACUGACGCUCAUGGACGAAAGCCAGGGGAGCGAAAGGGAUUAGAUACCCCUGUAGUCCUGGCCGUAAACGAUGAACACUAGGUGUCGGGGGAAUCGACCCCCUCGGUGUCGUAGCCAACGCGUUAAGUGUUCCGCCUGGGGAGUACGCACGCAAGUGUGAAACUCAAAGGAAUUGACGG
rnacentral:rRNA from 1 species